rnacentral:rRNA from 1 species
CCCUUAGACGUUCUGGGCCGCACGCGCGCUACACUGACGAAGGCAACGAGCUUUCCUUUACCGAAAGGUACGGGUAAUCUUUUGAAACUUCGUCGUGCUGGGGAUAGAUCCUUGCAAUUAUUGAUCUUAAACGAGGAAUUCCUAGUAAGCGCAAGUCAUCAACUUGCGUUGAUUACGUCCCCGCCCUUUGUACACACCGCCCGUCGCUACUACCGAUUGAAUGGUUUAGUGAGGCCUUCGGAUCCGCGACUCGUUUUGUGGAGAAGUUGGACAAACUCAGUCAUUUAGAGGAAGUAAAAGUCGUAACA